AGGUAAGGUAGAAAAGCAUUAAUGCACAGGAUCCUAUAAGAAUUCCAUAGUUAAGCGUGUUUGGGCGAGAGCAGUUCUAGAACGGGUGACCUCCUGGAAAGUCCCCGGGUCGUACACC
rnacentral:rRNA from 1 species